rnacentral:rRNA from 1 species
UACGGGGGGAGCAAGCGUUGUUCGGAUUUACUGGGCGUAAAGGGCGCGUAGGCGGCCACCGCAAGUCAGUUGUGAAAUCUCUGGGCUUAACCCAGAAAGGUCAACUGAUACUGCGGGGCUAGAGUGCAGAAGGGGCAACUGGAAUUCUCGGUGUAGCGGUGAAAUGCGUAGAUAUCAAGUGGAACACCAGUGGCGAAGGCGAGUCCCUGGAAAACUCCUGACACUGAGGCACGAAAGCUAGGGGAGCAAACAGG